UACGGGAGGCAGCAGUGGGGAAUAUUGCACAAUGGGCGAAAGCCUGAUGCAGCUAUGCCGCGUGUAUGAAGAAGGCCUUAGGGUUGUAAAGUACUUUCAUCGGGGAGGAAAAAACAAAACUAAUAAUUUUAUUUCUUGACGUUACCCGAAAAAGAAGCACCGGCUAACUCCGUGCCAGCAGCCGCGGUAAUACGAAGGGUGCUAGCGUUAAUCAGAAUUACUGGGCGUAAAGAGCACGUAGGUGGUUUUUUUAAGUCAGAUGUGAAAUCCCUGGGCUUAACCUAGGAACUGCAUUUUGAAACUGAAAUACUAGAGUAUCGUAGAGGGAGGUAGAAUUCUAGGUGUAGCGGUGAAAUGCGUAGAUAUCUGGAGGAAUACCUGUGGCGAAAGCGGCCUCCUAAACGAAUACUGACACUGAGGUGCGAAAGCGUGGGGAGCAAACAGGGAUUAGAUACC
rnacentral:rRNA from 1 species